rnacentral:misc_RNA from 1 species
UUUCCGUAGGUGAACCUGCGGAAGGGUCAUUAACAAAUUUUACUUUCCAAAAAUGACAUUCAUCUCAUUUGCGAUGAAUGUUAUACCCCACUAUUUGACGAACUUGUUGUUUUAAAAAAAAAAAAAAGAGUGAAGUAAUGCGGUUGCUUGCAACGCAUUCUUUCUUUUUUUUCUUUUUCUUUUUUUUAAAACCCCAUGAAACAUUAUUAGACUGAAACUUGUUUUUGGGUAACUCCCGAAAACGAAAAAAGUUAAUGAGAAAAACAACUCUUAACAACGGAUAUCUUGGCUCUC